GACGAAGGAUGCAAGCGUUAUCCGGAUUCAUUGGGUUUAAAGGGAGCGUAGGCGGACCUGUAAGUCAGUGGUGAAAUCUCUUCGCUUAACGAAGAAACUGCCAUUGAUACUGCAGGUCUUGAGUACAGAUGAUGUGGGCGGAAUAUGACAUGUAGUGGUGAAAUACUUAGAUAUGUCAUAGAACACCGAUUGCGAAGGCAGCUCACAAAACUGUAACUGACGCUGAGGCUCGAAAGUGCGGGGAUCAAACAG
rnacentral:rRNA from 1 species